UGGGGAAUUUUGGACAAUGGGCGCAAGCCUGAUCCAGCAAUGCCGCGUGCAGGAUGAAGGCCUUCGGGUUGUAAACUGCUUUUGUACGGAGCGAAAAAGUCUGCCCUAAUACGGUGGGCUCAUGACGGUACCGUAAGAAUAAGCACCGGCUAACUACGUGCCAGCAGCCUCGGUAAUACGUAGGGUGCGAGCGUUAAUCGGAAUUACUGGGCGUAAAGCGUGCGCAGGCGGUUAUAUAAGACAGAUGUGAAAUCCCCGGGCUCAACCUGGGACCUGCAUUUGUGACUGUAUAGCUAGAGUACGGUAGAGGGGGAUGGAAUUCCGCUUGUAGCAGUGCAAUGCGUAAUUAUGCGGAGGAGCACCGAAGACGAAGGCAAUCCCCUGGACCUGCACUGGCGCUCAUGCACGAAAGCGUGGGGAGCGAGCA
rnacentral:rRNA from 1 species